rnacentral:rRNA from 1 species
GACGAACGCUGGCGGCGUGCUUAACACAUGCAAGUCGAGCGGUAAGGCCCUUUCGGGGGUACACGAGCGGCGAACGGGUGAGUAACACGUGGGUGACCUGCCCUUAGCUCUGGGAUAAGCCUGGGAAACUGGGUCUAAUACCGGAUAUGACUCCAUAACGCAUGUUGUGGGGUGGAAAGCCUUGUGCGGCUAGGGAUGGGCCCGCGGCCUAUCAGCUUGUUGGUGGGGUGAUGGCCACCAAGGCGACGACGGGUAGCCGGCCUGAGAGGGCGACCGGCCACACUGGGACUGAGACACGGCCCAGACUCCUACGGGAGGCAGCAGUGGGGAAUCUUGCGCAAUGGGCGAAAGCCUGACGCAGCGACGCCGCGUGGGGA